rnacentral:lncRNA from 1 species
ACUGCUUAUGAAGAGGUUACAACUGAGUUAGAAGAAUAUAAGGAAGCCUUUGCAGCAGCAUUGAAAGCUAACAAUUCCAUGUCAAAAAAAUUAACGAAAUCGAAUAAGAAAAUAGCAAUGAUCAGCACCAAGCUCCUUAUGGAGAAAGAGCAGGUGAAAUAUUUUCUCAGCACUCUUCCUACAAGGCAAGGUCGAGAGUCACCUUGUGUUGAAAAUCUUACUAGUAUAGGACUCAACAGAAAAUAUAUUCCCCAAAUGCCCAUAAGAAUUCCUACUUCAAACCGUCAGACUUCAAAUAACUGCCAGAACUACUUGACUGAGAUGGAGCCGGACUGUGUAGAACAAAUAAUUAGAGAAACAAAGAGAACUGCUGCUGUGUCGGACACUUGCUCCCAUCUACUUUCUUCUCUAGAAUCCACGGUAAAGGUUAGUAAAGGUCAUCAAAGUCUUAUUUGCAUUUUACAUGUGUACUCACUGGUCCCCAACAGAAGAACCGCUGCCACAUCCACUGAGGUA